ACGAAAUAUAUCGUGGCGAGAGGUUGAAUUCCAAGAUCGAGACGGACUUUCGACUUUUUUCUUUAAUUGUUUAGUAAUUAAAAUAAAGUUUUUAUCUAUUUUUCGAAUUUAACAAAACAAUCAAUGUAAUAUUAAAAUUUUUUACUUUAGAUCUUAGCGGAUCCGUGUGUGUUUUGAUUUUUUAUGUUGUGUUAUUUCUCUACAAAGAAGUGCAUGGUUGCAUUUUCGUUAACUUAGUCAAAACAUAUAAACCAGAAAAAAACAAAAUACUAAAAAAGCAACCAAAGCAGCAACAUAAAAAAAGAACACAAACAUAAUUACUACUUAAAAUUGAAGUUAAAGUGCAAAAACGAAACAGUAGCAGCAGCAGUAGUACAAGCCUGGCCGUUGUAAUUAAGAAAAGUGAAAAAAUUGAGUUGAAAAUUUUAGAAAACUUAAACCUGAUAUAAAUUUGAAAAUAGCUAAAAAAACUAAAAUACUUAUAUGUCAAAUCUGCUUUUCAAAUAGCUAAACUAAAGGAAUUUAAGGUGCCUUUUUAAAAUCUCAACCCAACCCAACCUAAUCAUAAAGUGAAGCAAUCAUUAUUUUACAGUUUUAAUCUUCUGAAAAACAAAACAAAUGGAUUUUUCUUUUAAAAGUUCAAGUAUUUGAAUUUUGACAACAGUGGAUUUUUACAAAGUACUCAAAAGAUAAUACCUACCAACAAAUGAAUUCCUUCAAUGCCUACCUAAAGUCAAAUAAUUUAUGUAAGUAAUUUAUGUUGUCUCAUUUCACUCUACUUGUAAGCUUUUCACGUACUCUUGAUAGACCGAAACUUCAUGUUUCAAACAUUCAAAAUAUUCCAUAAAUUGUUUGCAAUGUUCUUUGGCCUUUGCCGACUCAAGAAUAACCGACGAACUUCGAACCAGCCGAACUUCGUUCGUUUUUUUAUUUGUUUUUGUUAUAUCCGCUACGUCGUGGAGGGGUAUCAUUAAGAAAGCAUGCUUGCUUUC
rnacentral:sRNA from 1 species